GGAGCGGGAGUGGGAGUGCUCAGUCUCUCGGGUCGCCUGGAUAUUUAUGAAAAGGACGCCAGGGAAAGGGCUCCGCUGUAGACCGAAGGGAUAAGGGUUCGAUUCAGAAGGGAGCGUUAUUUUUAUCCCCUCUCCACAUAAUGGAACGUUUAAAUGGUUAAAUCAAGUACCUUGCAGGAGAGGGUGGGGUGGCCUUGAGAAUACACUCAAGGCCUCAGUACAUGCAGUCUGGAAGUGGGGGAAUCAAGAGCACCCUGUCUCUAGUACUGUCCUCAAUGAUAAGGUGAGGAAAGCCAAACCCAGGACUGGGAACAGGGCCUGGUCCAGAGCCAGGCGCUUGUUUAUUCUUGACUCUGCUCUCAAGGCGCUGAGGUUCCCAACCUGGACCAAGAAGUACAUAUUCAGGUUCAAAGGAUAAACCAAAACAAAACCUGAGCUCUCUCUCUAGAAUGAAGUGCCUGGUCCCAGUUCACCAUCUAAUAUUUAUGGAAAGCUUAUCAGGUACUUGGUGCUGGGGGCUAAGGGGCCCGCAAUGUGGUAAGUGAGCAGGGACUGUUGAUGUGUUGGAGGUGUGGAGCAGGGUGAGAAGAGGUGAGCAGUGUGUGUGUAGUGAGAGCAGAGAGGCCACACAGAGCCAAAUGCUGGGGGUAUAGACAAGGGAGCAACCAUGAGAGUUGAGUGUAACAGAAGCUACAGUCCCACUUCCUCCAGAGAGGAGGACCAGCCACUAACUCUUCUUAGUAGCAAUUAGGUGAGGCUGCACCAAAGACAGAACCACCGAGGUGGGCUCUGAAACAUGAGGAGCAGUCCACCAUGUCAAGGCAGGAAGGAAGGCACUCCAGGCAGAGGGAUCAGUCUGUGCCCAAGGCCCUUUGUCAUGAGAGCACAUGCUUGGUCGCUUCUGGCCAUGCCUAAUAAUCUGGCAGGGACAGAGCUCAUGGUCUCCAAGAGCACAUGGUAGCAGACAGGGCUGGAAGGUGUGGGGCCCUGAGAAUCAAGCUAAGGUGCUUCGACUGUAUACCCAAGGUCACGGGGACCACUCAGCAUGUUCAAGGAGGGAAGCAGUAUGAUGAGAACUUUAGAAUGAGUACAAAUUAAACAUCAAUGUGCAUGUAUAAGUGCACAUUUACAUGUACACGCAUGUACAAAACCAAGACAGGGCUGACAGAACACAAGGAAGAAAGUCAGAUGUGACCAAUUCAAAAAGAGUCUGAACAAUCCUUCCCUCUAUUCCUUUUCAUUCCAUAAAUAGGGGUCUCACGUUUACCGUGAGCCAGUGGGGCCAGAUGUUUAAAAAGAGAAAACCAUAGUGCCUUCCCUCAGGAUGCCUUCACUCUGCUAAAGCUCAGUCUGCCCCCACAGAGAACAGAAGUGUCAGCAGAGGACUGUAAGUGCUAUGUGAUUGGACGACGGUGGCCAUAGAAUUUCACCUGCCCAGCACGUAUUCUCUCAUCCUCUCCUCCUCUGCCUUCUUUGGGAGGGAGAAAUCAGAAGGAGUGGGGAUGCAGUUCAGAGAGCAGAGGAGAAGAGAAGAAAAGAAGGAAGAAGGAAGAGGACUAGGGUUGGGUGGGGGGGGAGGACACCAAUGGGAAGAGGGACAGAUCAACUCUAUACACAAAAGUAAAUCAAAACACCAAAAACAGGGGUCUAUGUAAAGAAGCCUCUUCCCGUGAAUUGCUCGUUGCAUAGCUGCAGGGAGGGUGUUUAGGGGCAUAGAGAAUGAAAACAUACCUGUAUUUUGGUGUAGGGAAAUUGUUUCUGUCAAUUCACACCGUCCACACACCACCUCCCACCCCAACCCCGCCACUACCAAAUUCCUCUAAAUAAAAAUAAUUAUGAGAUACAGGCCAACAAAAACGUCAGCGUUAGGCUGUUAUUUAGAGAGAAUUGGAAAGCGUUUGAAUGUGGCCCUGUUGUUUAAUAAACGAUAACAAUGAUUA
rnacentral:lncRNA from 1 species